rnacentral:sRNA from 1 species
UGUUAUGGAUGGUUUCAAGAAACAGAUC